GGGAUUGCCCUAGUAACGGCGAGUGAAGCGGCAACAGCUCAAAUUUGAAAUCUGGCGCAAGCCCGAGUUGUAAUUUGUAGAGGAUGCUUCGGCGUCGGCCCCGUUCUAAGUUCCUUGGAACAGGACGUCCUAGAGGGUGAGAACCCCGUCUUCGAUCGGGUCGCCGUCGCCAUGUGAAGCUCCUUCGACGAGUCGAGUUGUUUGGGAAUGCAGCUCUAAGCGGGAGGUAAAUUUCUUCUAAAGCUAAAUAACGGCCAGAGACCGAUAGCGCACAAGUAGAGUGAUCGAAAGAUGAAAAGCACUUUGGAAAGAGAGUUAAAAAGUACGUGAAAUUGUUGAAAGGGAAGCUCAAGCUGCCAGACUUGGCCGCGCCUCUUCGGUGGCGCGGGCAGGCCAGCAUCAGUCCGGGCGGCCUGAUAAAGACCUUUGGAAUGUAGCUCCCUCGGGAGUGUUAUAGCCUCGGGUGUAAUGUGGUCAGCCUGGACUGAGGAUCGCGUUCGCUAGGAUGCUGGCGUAAU
rnacentral:rRNA from 1 species